rnacentral:pre_miRNA from 1 species
UUAAUACUCCCUCCAUCCGAAAAUACUUGUCAUCAAAAUGAAUAAAAAGGGAUGUAUCUAGAACUAAAAUACAUCUAGAUACAUCCCCUUUUAUUUAUUUUGAUGACAAGUAUUUCUAGACGGAGGGAGUAUAUU